rnacentral:rRNA from 1 species
CUACGGGACGCAGCAGUGGGGAAUAUUGCACAAUGGACGAAAGUCUGAUGCAGCAACGCCGCGUGGAGGAUGACACAUUUCGGUGCGUAAACUCCUUUUAUAUAGGAAGAUGAUGACGGUACUAUAUGAAUAAGCACCGGCUAACUCCGUGCCAGCAGCCGCGGUAAUACGGAGGGUGCAAGCGUUACUCGGAAUCACUGGGCGUAAAGAGCGUGUAGGCGGAUAGAUAAGUCAGGAGUGAAAUCCUAUGGCUCAACCAUAGAACUGCUCUUGAAACUGUCAAUCUAGAAUGUGGGAGAGGUAGAUGGAAUUUCUGGUGUAGGGGUAAAAUCCGUAGAGAUCAGAAGGAAUACCGAUUGCGAAGGCGAUCUACUGGAACAUAAUUGACGCUGAGACGCGAAAGCGUGGGGAGCAAACAGGAUUAGAUACCCUCGUAGUC